AGAACGAACGCUGGCGGCAUGCCUAAUACAUGCAAGUCGAACGAACUCUUCGGAGUUAGUGGCGCACGGGUGCGUAACGCGUGGGAAUCUGCCCCUUGGUUCGGAAUAACAGUUGGAAACGACUGCUAAUACCGGAUGAUGACGAAAGUCCAAAGAUUUAUCGCCAAGGGAUGAGCCCGCGUAGGAUUAGCUAGUUGGUGAGGUAAGCUCACCAAGGCAACGAUCCUUAGCUGGUCUGAGAGGAUGAUCAGCCACACUGGGACUGAGACACGGCCCAGACUCCUACGGGAGCAGCAGUAGGGAAUAUUGGACAAGUGGGACAAAGCCUGAUCCAGCAAUGCCGCGUGAGUGAUGGAAGGCGUUAGGUGUAAAGCUUCGUUUACCGAG
rnacentral:rRNA from 1 species